rnacentral:rRNA from 1 species
ACGCACUCUGGCGGCGUGCUUAACACAUGCAAGUCGAACGGAAAGGCCCUGCUUUUGUGGGGUGCUCGAGUGGCGAACGGGUGAGUAACACGUGAGUAACCUGCCCUUGACUUUGGGAUAACUUCAGGAAACUGGGGCUAAUACCGGAUAGGAGCUCCUGCUGCAUGGUGGGGGUUGGAAAGUUUCGGCGGUUGGGGAUGGACUCGCGGCUUAUCAGCUUGUUGGUGGGGUAGUGGCUUACCAAGGCUUUGACGGGUAGCCGGCCUGAGAGGGUGACCGGCCACAUGGGGACUGAUAGUGGGCCCAGAUCCCUAGGGGAGGCAGAGGGGGGGAAUAUUGCAAAAGGGGCGGAAGCCUGAUGCAGCAACGCCGGGGGGGGGAUGAGGGCCUUGGGGUUGAAAACCGCUUUCGCCUGUGACGAAGGGUGGGGGGCGGGAAUGGGAAAAGAAGCACCGGCAAACUGCGU